GCCCUUCAGCUCAGUGGUCGAGCGCUGGCUUUGAAAGCACAGGUCGGUGGCUCGAUCCCGUCCGGGACA